rnacentral:rRNA from 1 species
AGAGCGAACGCUGGCGGCAGGCCUAACACAUGCAAGUCGAGCGCCGUAGCAAUACGGAGCGGCAGACGGGAGAGUAACACGUGGGAACGUGCCCUUUGGUUCGGAACAACACAGGGAAACUUGUGCUAAUACCGGAUAAGCCCUUACGGGGAAAGAUUUAUCGCCAAAGGAUCGGCCCGCGUCUGAUUAGCUAGUUGGUGAGGUAACGGCUCACCAAGGCUACGAUCAGUAGCUGGUCUGAGAGGAUGAUCAGCCUCACUGGGACUGAGACACGGCCCAGACUCCUACGGGAGGCAGCAGUGGGAAUAUUGGACAAUGGGCGCAAGCCUGAUCCAGCCAUGCCGCGUGGGUGAUGAAGGCCCUAGGGUUGUAAAGCCCUUUCGGCGGGGAAGAUAAUGACCGGUACCGCAGAAGAAGCCCCGGCUAACUUCGUGCCAGCAGCCGC